UGCACAAAUUAUUGUAUUCGACUGUAUUUGACUAUAUUCACGACGUGAAAUAGGGGAUUAGACUGGUUUUAAAUGAAAAGUGAAUCAACUAACAUAAUAGACUCCU
rnacentral:pre_miRNA from 1 species